GAAGUCGGAAUUGCUAGUAAUGGCAGGUCAGCAUACUGCCGUGAAUACGUUCCCGGGCCUUGUACACACCGCCCGUCACACCAUGAGAGUUGGAGAUACCCGAAGCCUAUGAGCUAACUUUUAGAGGCAGUAGUCGAAGGUAGAAUCAAUGAUUGGGGUGAAGUCGUAACAAGGUAAC
rnacentral:rRNA from 1 species